ensembl:lncRNA
CUCUGUCCUCCAUCCUUAUCCCUUUAUCCCUGUCCUGCACCCUUAUCCCUGUCCUGCACCCUUAUCCCUGUCCUCCAUCCUUAUCCCUGUCCUGCACCCUUAUCCCUGUCCUCCAUCCUUAUCCCUGUCCUGCACCCUUAUCCCUGUCCUGCAUCCUUAUCCCGGUCCUGCAUCCUUAUUCUUGUCCUGCAUCCUUAUCCUUGUCCUGCAUCCUUCUGCCACGUCCUCCAUCCAUGUCCUCCAUCCUUACUCCUUGACUUCCAUCCCUGUCCUCCAUCCUUAUCCUUGUCCUGUGUCCUUGUGCCAUGUCCUCCAUCCAUGUCCUCCAUCCUUAUCCCUGUCCUGCACCCGUAUCCCUGCCCUCCACCCUUAUCCCUGUCCUGCACCCUUAUCCCUGUCCUGCACCCUUAUCCCUGUCCUGCAUCCUUAUCCCUGUCCUCCAUCCUUAUCCCUGUCCUGCACCCUUAUCCCUGUCCUGCACCCUUAUCCUUGUCCUGCACCCUUAUCCCUGUCCUGCACCCUUAUCCCUGUCCUGCAUCCUUAUCCCUGUCCUGCACCCUUAUCCCUGUCCUGCAUCCUUAUCCCUGUCCUGCACCCUUAUCCCUGUCCUGCACCCUUAUCCUUGUCCUGCAUCCUUCUGCCACGUCCUCCAUCCAUGUCCUCCAUCCUUACUCCUUGACUUCCAUCCCUGUCCUCCAUCCUUAUCCUUGUCCUGUGUCCUUGUGCCAUGUCAUCCAUCCAUGUCCUCCAUCCUUAUCCUUAUCCUGCCUCCUUGUGCCGUGUCCUCCAUCCUUACUCCUUAUCCUCCAUCCCUACUCCUUGUCCUCCAUCCCUGUCCUCCAUCCUUAUCCUUGUCCUGCGUCCUUGUGCCACAUCCUCCAUCCUUACUCCUUGACUUCCAUCCCUGUCCUGCACCCUUAUCAUUGUCCUGCAUCCUUGUGCCAUGUCCUCCAUCCUUACUCCUUAUCCUCCAUCCCUACUCCUUGUCCUCCAUCCCUACCCUCCAUCCUCAUCCUUGUCCUACAUCCUUGUGCCACAUCCUCCAUCCAUGUCCUCCAUCCUUACUCCUUGUCCUCCAUCCCUGUCCUCCAUCCUUAUCCUUGUCCUGCAUCCUUGUGCCAUAUCCUCCACCCACGUCCUCCAUCCUUACUCGUUGUCCUCCAUCCCUGUCCUCCAUCCUUAUCCUUGUCCUGCCUCCUUUUGCCAUGUCCUCCAUCCUUAUCCUUGUCCUCCAUCCUUACUCCUUGACCUCCAUCCCUGUCCUCCAUCCUUAUCCUUAUCCUGCAUCCUCAUCCCUGUCCUCCAUCCUUAUCCUUGUCCUGUGUCCUUGUGCCACGUCCUCCACCCAUGUCCUCCAUCUUUACUCCUUGUCCUCCAUCCCUGCCCUCCAUCCUUAUCCUUGUACUGCGUCCUUCUGCCACGUCCUCCAUCCUUACUCCUUAUGCUCCAUCCUUACUCCUUGCCCUCCAUCCCUGUCCUCCAUCCUUAUCAUUGUCCUGCAUCCUUGUGCCAUGUCCUCCAUCCAUGUCCUCCAUCCUUACUCGUUGUCCUCCAUCCCUGUCCUCCAUCCUUAUCCUUGUCCUGCAUCCUUCUGCCACAUCCUCCAUCCUUACUCCUUGUCCUCCAUCCUUACUCCUUAUCCUCCAUCCUUACUCCUUGCCCUCCAUCCCUGUCCUCCAUCCUUAUCCUUGUCCUGCAUCCUUGUGCCACGUCCUCCAUCCAUGCCCUCCAUCCUUACUCCUUAUGCUCCAUCCUUAUCCUUGUCCUCCAUCCCUGUCCUCCAUCCUUAUCCUUGUCCUGCAUCCUCAUCCCUGUCCUCCAUCCUUACUCCCUGUCCUCCAUCUUUACUCCUUGUCCUCCAUCCCUGUCCUCCAUCCUUAUCCUUGUCCUGCAUCCUCCAUCCAUGUCCUCCAUCCUUACUCCUUGUCCUCCAUCCUUAAUCCUCGUCCUCCAACCCUGUCCUCCAUCCUUAUUCCUGUCUUCCACCCUUAUCUUUGUCCUCCAUCCUUACAUCUUGUCCUCCAUCCAUGCCCUCCAUCCUUAUUCCGUCCUCCAUCCACGUCCUCCAUCCUUGCUUCUUGUCCUCCAUCCUUAUCCUUGUCCUCCAUCCUUACUCCCUGCCCUCCUUCCUUACUCCCUGUCCUCUAUCCUUACUCCCUGUCCUCCAUCCCCGCUCCCUGUCCUCCAUCCUUGUUCCAUACCCUCCAUCCUUGCUCCCUGUCCUCCAUCCUUAUUUCCUGUCCUCCAUCCUUGCUCCUUGUCCUCCUUCCUUACUCCCUGUCCUCCAUCCUUGCUCCUUGUCUUCCUUCCUUACUCCCUGUCCUCCAUCCUUGCUCCCUGUCCUCCAUCCUUGCUCCUUGUCCUCCUUCCUUACUCCCUGUCCUCCAACCUUAUUUCCUGUCCUCCACCCUUGUCUUUGCCCUCCAUCCUUAUCCUUGUCCUCCAUCCUUAUCCUUGUCCUCCAUCUUUGUACCUUGUCCUCCACCCAUAUCCUCCAUCCUUGCUACAUGUCCUCCAUUCUUACUCUCUGUCCUCCACUCUUCUCCUUUGUCCUCCAUUCUUAUUCCUUGACCUCCAUCCACGUCCUCCAUCCUUACUCCUUGUCCUCCAUCCUUAUUCUCUGUCCUCCACUCUUAUUCCUUGUCCUCCAUCCAUGGCCUCCAUCCUUAUUCCCUGUCCUCCAUCCAUGCCCUCCAUCCUUACUCCUUGUCCUCCAUCCCUGUCCUCCAUCCUUAUCCUUGUCCUGCAUCCAUACCCUCCAUCCUUAUUCCUUGUCCUCCAUCCUUACUCCUUGUCCUCCAUCCAUGCUCUCCAUCCUUACUCCUUGUCCUCCACCCUUAUUCUCUGUCCUCCACUCUUAUUCCUUGCCCUCCAUCCAUGCCCUCCAUCCUUACAUCUUGUCCUCCAUCCUUACAUCUUGUCCUCCAUCCAUGCCCUCCAUCCUUACAUCUUGUCCUCCAUCCUUACAUCUUGUCCUCCAUCCAUGCCCUCCAUCCUCAUUCCCUGUCCUCCACCCACGUCCUCCAUCCUUGCUUCUUGUCCUCCACCCUUAUCCUUGUCCUCCAUCCUUACUCCCUGCCCUCCUUCCUUACUCCUUGUCCUCUAUCCUUACUCCCUGUCCUCCAUCCCCGCUCCCUGUCCUCCAUCCUCACUCCUUGUCCUCCCCUAUUGCCCCAGAGACGCAAAAUGGACCUCACUUCACCAGCAGCCCACAUGGGCACCCAGAGAGCUGCAUUUCUCCAAAGCCUGGACGCAGAGAAGCUUGGGAGAACCUCUGCGAGUGGGACAAGGAAUGCCCACCAUCCUUAUAUCCUCCUCUGUCCCUGCCCUGAAGAUGGCGAAGGUGGCAACCAAGCGGAAGGGCACGAAGUCAGCACAGCUUCAGCCCGGCACGCACAGAACACCAUUCCCACCAGCAAAAAGCCACCUCCGGUCUCCCAGAGCUCUUCUCAAUUUCGAACAGCUUCAGAACUCAUCUCACUGAGGGUUCCUCAAUGCCUCCUGGAUCCCUCCGGGUCAUCCCGGCCCCUCCUGGGUCCUUCCCAGCCCAGCAGCGCAGAGCCCACGCUGACGCUGGAGCACAGACGAAUCCCUCUCGGCUCACUUUUCAGGUGAAGCAAACUGAAUCCCAGCAAGGGGAGGCUGGAAAUGCUCCAGCCUACGGCGGGUCCCACCUCUUCAACGGCUGUGUUCCAUCACCAGAGAGCCAGCGUGUGCUCCAGGGAGCAGCCCGCGGCACCUGCUGGGAUUGCGCAGUGCCAACAGCCGUCAGCUCUGACAAGGCCUGACACUCUUAUUGCUGCACAUGGCCAGUUACGGUAAUACGAAAGGACUCCUGUCCUCCUGAGCCCGCCGUGAUUGAAUUAACAUGAUCACCCUUUUUUUGCCAGUAACGUAGGCCUGGGUUUUUUGGGGUUUUUUUUUCCUUAAAUCAAUAAGACACGUCGUUUGCAAGAGGCUUUUAUCGUGCCGUGUUCACACAAGCCUGUGAGCCCGACCCCCCCUCACGCCUCCAUCAGUGACAGCGAUGUGUCAAUGGGCACUGUUCUGCUCGCUGGAUGACGCUGAGCUCUGCUGAGGAUGUGCCCCUGCUGCCAGCCCAAAAGAACGUGAACAACGCUCCCCCAAGGAGCAGCAAGGGGAAAAGAACGCUGCUUUCCAAGGCGCCGGGUAGAGUUUGGGUGCUGGACCAGAUGGGGGUUGGAGCUUCAUGAUCCUUGAGGUGCCUUCCAACCUGGGCCUUUCUAAGACCUUGGAAGGUCCCUUCCAACCCAAAUGAUGGGUGGGAAUUACGAGGGCAGAGUGGGAAUCCAGCAAAGUGACCCCAGGGAGCACAGCUGUGCUUCAGGAGCUCCUCCUCCUCCCAGCGACGGUGGUUGGACUGCCCAAAGCAACGCUGAGUGGGGGGACGGGGGAGAACCCGAACGGAAAGGAUGCCAAAGACACCCAGAGCGGCCAAGUUGGAAAGUAAAGAGCAGGAAUUCGUAGGGGGAUGGGAUGCGGGCUAACAUUGAAGAGCAAAUUACUCAGCCACGGCUUCUGCCAGCGCUGCUUGGAGAGGUUGUAUGGGACACAACAUGAGCACGGUUGGCACGCCUGGUGGGGAUGGGCUGGUUGGAUUUGGGGAUCUUGGAGGUCAUUGCCAGCCUUAAUAACUCCGAUUCUACGAGCAAACACGGUGGGGAUGGGUUGGCGGUUGGAUUUGGGGAUCUUGGAGGUCACUUCCAACCUUAAUGACUCUGAUUCUCUGAGCAAACAUGGUGGGGAUGGGUUGGUUGGAUCUGGGGAUCUUGGAGGUCAUUGUCAGGCUUAAUGACUCCAAUUCUACGAGCGAACACGGUGGGGGUGGGUUGGUGGUUGGACAUGGAGAUCCUGGAGGUCAUUGCCAACCUUAAUGACUCCGAUUCUAUGAGCAAACACAGUGGGGGUGGGUUGGUGGUUGGAUUUGGGGAUGUUGGAGGUCAUUGCCAGCCUUAAUGACUCCGAUUCUCUGAGCAAACACGGUGGGGAUGGGUUGUUUGGAUCUGGGGAUCUUGGAGGUCAUUGUCAGCCUUAAUGACUCCGAUUCUACGAGCAAACACAGUGGGGAUGGGUUGGUGGUUGGAUUUGGGGAUCUUGGAGGUCAUUGUCAGCCUUAAUGACUCCGAUUCUCUGAGCAAACACGGUGGGGAUGGGUUGGUGGUUGGAUUUGGGGAUGUUGGAGGUCAUUGUCAGGCUUAAUGACUCCGAUUCUAUGAGCAAACAUGGUGGGGAUGGGUUGGCAGUUGGAUUUGGGGAUGUUGGAGGUCACUUCCAACCUUAAUGACUCUGAUUCUACAAGCAAACAUGGUGGGGAUGGGUUGGCGGUUGGAUUUGGGGAUCUUGGAGCUCAUUGCCAGCCUUAAUGGCUCUGAUUCUAUGAGCAAACACGGUGGGGAUGGGUUGGCGGUUGGAUUUGGGGAUCUUGGAGGUCACUUCCAACCUUAAUGGCUCCGAUUCUAUGAGCAAACAUGGUGGGGAUGGGUUGGUGGUUGGAUCUGGGGAUGUUGGAGGUCAUUGCCAGCCUUAAUGACUCCGAUUCUACAAGCAAAACAUGGUGGGGAUGGGUUGGUGUUGAUUUGGGGAUCUUGGAGGUCAUUUCCAACCACAGUGUUCCCACAGUUCGGUCGCUGUGCAACAGAUGUUGGCCGAUGAGGUCCAUUUUGCUGCCUGAAGGAGUCCAGAUGCAGUUAAGCGCUGCGCCGGGCCACCAGAAUCAGCGGUUCGUAAGGUUCUCAAUGACCAAGACAGACCUUGGAGGUCUCUUCCUUCAUCAUUCUACGACUCCACGGCUCGGGAUCUCCUUUCUUAGCUGCCUCAGUGGACGGUGCUGGCGCACAUGGGCUCGGGAAAGCCUCCUGUCCUCCACAGCCCCUUACAGAACAAGCUGGCUGAUCCUACUGGGGACGAAGGUCGGUGCUGCCCACCCUCUGCCUGCACAGCAGCACGACGGGAAGGGAAAGCGAAGACCCACCUCCUCUCUCACUCCCUCCACGUGUGCGGAGCUGUUAAACACCCCAAACACAACGUCACCGUGCCCACGACCACUCCGAGAGGGACCUAAUUUGCUCCCCUGCCCUACGGGGGAACUACCCUUAAGCACUCGGCCGCUCGCACGCUUAUUGCCCUCGCCACGGCGGGACGUUAAGCUUCGGCGCAGUGAGAUGAUUGCUUUUUAAAUCCCAGUCUCCCAGGAUUUUAAUUACUGGUCUGGCAGGGCUGGGAGUGGAAGUUGCUGCCGUCGGACGGAGGGGUCGAUACGCCGUCCCGGAACAUAUUGAGCCACGGUGCUCGCAGGCUCUAUUGAACUAUUUAAUCUUUCUUUUUUUUUUCUUGCAAAAUUUACCGCGCGGCAGAAGGGAUCAAUACUGAAUUUAUCACGUUGCCUCGUAAAUAUGAGCACGGAGAGGGGAAAGAGCGUCUCAGGCUCUCCUGCCCAACAGCUGGCCGGGGGUGGGCGCCGACUGCAGCUGCAGCACGGCACUGGGGGGGGCGGGGGCACAGAGGGGGCUGCCCAACGCCGCCUCUGCCCCCGUGGGGAAAGGACAAGGCAGGUGUGGGGCUGUGCUUGCGCAGCAGCUCAAGGCCGACGGGUCCUCGGCUCCAGGUGGGACAAGGCAGAAGCAGAGCAGUUUGCAGCUCUCCUUUCCCCCGGCUGAGCUGCGGGCAGCCGGGCGGAAGCGCUGGGAGCGUUGGGGCCCCGUCGGGUCAGGAGGACGGCAGCGCUCCGCUCAGCGCAACUUCUGCUC